AGUGAACGCUGGCGGUAGGCCUAACACAUGCAAGUCGAACGGCAGCACAGGAGAGCUUGCUCUCUGGGUGGCGAGUGGCGGACGGGUGAGGAAUACAUCGGAAUCUACUCUGUCGUGGGGGAUAACGGAGGGAAACUUACGCUAAUACCGCAUACGACCUACGAGUGAAAGCAGGUGACCUUCGGGCCUUGCGCGAUUGAAUGAGCCGAUGUCGGAUUAGCUAGGUGGCGGGGUAAAGGCCCACCAAGGCGACGAUCCGUAGCUGGUCUGAGAGGCUGAUCAGCCACACUGGAACUGAGACACGGUCCAGACUCCUACGGGAGGCAGCAGUGGGGAAUAUUGGACAAUGGGCGCAAGCCUGAUCCAGCCAUACCGCGUGGGUGAAGAAGGCCUUCGGGUUGUAAAGCCCUUUUGUUGGGAAAGAAAUCCAGCUGGCUAAUACCCGGUUGGGAUGACGGUACCCAAAGAAUAAGCACCGGCUAACUUCGUGCCAGCCGCCGCCGUAA
rnacentral:rRNA from 1 species